rnacentral:rRNA from 1 species
UACGUAGGGGGCGAGCGUUGUCCGGAAUUACUGGGCGUAAAGCGCGCGCAGGCGGACCAUUAAGUUGGGCGUGAAAUCUCCCGGCCUAACUGGGAGGGGUCGCCCAAGACUGGUGGUCUUGAGGACAGCAGAGGUGGGUGGAAUUCCUGGUGUAGUGGUGAAAUGCGUAGAUAUGACUUAGAACACCAAUUGCGAAGGCAGCUCGCUAAACAGAGAUUGACGCUGAGGCACGAAAGCGUGGGGAUCAAACAGG